UAUGUGCCCUAGUAACGGCGAGUGAAGCGGCAACAGCUCAAAUUUGAAAUCUGGCUUCUUCCCGAGUUGUAAUUUGUAUAGGAAACUUUUGGUGAGGCACCUUCUGAGUCCCCUGGAACGGGACGCCAUAGACGGUGAGAGCCCCGUAUAGUCCGAUGCCGAUCCGAUGUCAAGCUCCUUCGACGAGUCCAGUAAUUUGAGAAUGCUGCUCAUAAUGGUAGGUAAGUUUCUUCUAAUGCUAAAUACCGGCCAGAGAGCGAUAGCGCACAAGUAGAGUGAUCGAAAGAUGAAAAGCACUUUGAAAAGAGGGUUAAAUAGCACGUGAAAUUGUUGAAAGGGAAGCGUUUGUGACCAGACUUGCGCCGUUCCGAUCAUCCGGUGUUCUCACCGGUGCACUCGGGACGGCUCAGGCCAGCAUCGGUUUUGCCGGUGGGAUAAAGGUCCGGGGAACGUAGCUCCUCCGGGAGUGUUAUAGCCCCGGACGUAAUGCCCUCGCCGGGACCGAGGUUCGCGCAUCUGCAAGGAUGCUGGCGUAAUGGUCAUCAACGACCCGUCUUGAAACACGGACCAAGGAGUCAAGGUUUUGCGCGAGUGUUUGGGUGUAAAACCCGCACGCGUAAUGAAAGUGAACGUAGGUGAGAGCUUCGGCGCAUCAUCGACCGAUCCUGAUGUAUUCGGAUGGAUUUGAGUAAGAGCGUUAAGCCUUGGACCCGAAAGAUGGUGAACUAUGCUUGGAUAGGGUGAAGCCAGAGGAAACUCUGGUGGAGGCUCGCAGCGGUUCUGACGUGCAAAUCGAUCGUCAAAUCUGAGCAUGGGGGCGAAAGACUAAUCGAACCAUCUAGUAGCUGGUUACCGCCGAAGUUUCCCUCAGGAUAGCAGUGUUCUUGUUCAAUUUUAUGAGGUAAAGCGAAUGAUUAGGGACUCGGGGGCGCGUAAUAGCCUUCAUCCAUUCUCAAACUUUAAAUAUGUAAGAAGCCCUUGUUACUUAAUUGAACGUGGGCAUUCGAAUGUAGCAACACUAGUGGGCCAUUUUUGGUAAGCAGAACUGGCGAUGCGGGAUGAACCGAACGCGAGGUUAAGGUGCCGGAGUGGACGCUCAUCAGACACCACAAAAGGCGUUAGUACAUCUAGACAGCAGGACGGUGGCCAUGGAAGUCGGAAUCCGCUAAGGACUGUGUAACAACUCACCUGCCGAAUGUACUAGCCCUGAAAAUGGAUGGCGCUCAAGCGUCCCACCCAUACCUCGCCCUCAGGGUAGAAACGAUGCCCUGAGGAGUAGGCGAGGCGUGGAGGUCAGUGACGAAGCCUUUG
rnacentral:rRNA from 1 species